UUUAAUUUAGUAUAUAAUAAGUACUAUUCAUUUACAUUGAAUAAGACCCAAUCAAGGAAUUAAUU
rnacentral:tRNA from 1 species